CUAACAUGUAUGCGAGCCUCAAAACCGUCGCGAAGCGUGAACUCUUGGUGAAAUGGAGCACUUUCGUGUCCGCUGGUUAACAUCAAUUUCGAUCGUCAUAAAAAGGCUGGAGGGAUGUGGUUCCUUCGGGAGUGUUAUAACCUUUAGCGG
rnacentral:rRNA from 1 species